GGAACCACAUAUGAAUAAGAUAUUUUGGAUUUUUAUUCAUGAGAUUCAUCAAGUGAGCCAAUGCUUUAUUUCUUGAAGAGAGCAUAUUGACCUAGUAUCAUCAGGCGCAAGAGAAAUCAUGGAUUUUUCGCUCGGGCAAAAUUCAGUGUGUCAGAAUGGUAGUUAGCGGUUUCUUUUAAACAUUAGUACCGCCCUUGGUCGGUAAUAAGGAACAGCAUAGCUCGAGUUCAAAAUCAUCGGAAGGUCGCCAGAUGCAAACUGACAUGUUUUGUUUUAAGAAAACCAAAUGCCUUUUGGUAGAUCUACAAUGAUCCAUAAGGUUUCUCGAUGAAUGGAAGUCAGAUCUAGGAUGAGGAGGCUAAGAUGAUUCGAACAUGUAAAUGAAGUUUCGAACGGUGACAAAAUAGGCGGUUGAUGCGGUGUACUGGCGAUCGUUUGACAAGCUUUCUUGCUUCACCUACAGAGCAGAACAUGAAGAAAGAAAAAAAAAUUAAAAAUGAACGUGAAAUGAGAAAUGGAAUGCACGUGAUUUUGGGGUUGUAUUAAAGUGAAAAAUGAGUAAAUCACAAGGCGUGUCAUCCAAGUUUGAAAAAGAUUGGAAGCUAGAAAUCAAGUUGGUGAACUG